AUACGGAUGGUGCGAGCGUUGUUCGGAAUUACUGGGCGUAAAGGGCGCGUAGGCGGCGAUGUAAGUCAAAUGUGAAAGUCCUCGGCUUAACCGGGGAAGUGCAUCUGAAACUGCAUUGCUUGAGUAUGGGAGAGGAAAGUGGAAUUCCCGGUGUAGAGGUGAAAUUCGUAGAGAUCGGGAGGAAUACCGGUGGCGAAGGCGACUCUCUGGACCAAUACUGACGCUGAGGCGCGAAAGCGUGGGGAGCAAACAGGAUUAGAAACCCCAGUAGUCC
rnacentral:rRNA from 1 species